UCUUUUGUGUUUCUCCACAAGACAGAGCUGGUCACUUCCAUCCAGAUGACUGAGAGGAACUCAAAAAAUGUAUACACAAGCCAGGAGGCAGCACUUCAACAGAGCCAGCAAGUUUAGGGCCUUAGGACAUAUAAAGUACAGAAAACGGUCCCUGGGAAGAUCAGGGUUCUCUUGAAUGUCCUUCUAUCUUUGGUAGAGUAAGGGAUUUUCUUGACUAUUUUUUUCAAUUUGAGAAGGUAAAAAAGAUUUUGGAGUUCACGUAGAAUAUUCCCUCUACAAAUCCAAUAAAGGUCUCUGCAGCGGGACCUUUUGCCAACUUCCCUUGUCUGUCUCACAAAGAAACCCAUCCACCACACAGCGACAGACUGUCUCACCUCCUCUAUGGUAAACUUCAACAGAAGCCCCAUCCACCACACAGCGACAGACUGUCUCACCUCUGUGGUGGA